UACGAAGGGGGCUAGCGUUGUUCGGAAUUACUGGGCGUAAAGCGCGCGUAGGCGGUGAUCUUUGUCAGAGGUGAAAGCCCGGGGCUCAACUCCGGAAUUGCCUUUGAAACGGGAUUGCUAGAGUCCGAGAGAGGAUGGCGGAAUUCCUAGUGUAGAGGUGAAAUUCGUAGAUAUUAGGAAGAACACCGGUGGCGAAGGCGGCCAUCUGGCUCGGUACUGACGCUCAGGCGCGAAAGCGUGGGGAGCAAACAGGGAUUAA
rnacentral:rRNA from 1 species